AAUCAACGCUGGCGGCGUGCCUCAGACAUGCAAGUCGAACGCGAAAGUCCCCUUCGGGGGGCGAGUAGAGUGGCGCACGGGUGAGUAACACGUAGGUAAUCUACCUUUGGAUGGGGAAUAACAACCGGAAACGGUUGCUAAUACCGCAUAAUGCAGCGGCACCUAAUGGUGACAGUUGUUAAAGCGGGGGAUCGAAAGACCUCGCGUCUGAAGAGGAGCCUGCGGCGGAUUAGCUAGUUGGAAGGUAACGGCUUACCAAGGCAACGAUCCGUAGCCGGCCUGAGAGGGCGGUCGGCCACACUGACACUGACAUACGGGUCAGACUCCUACGGGAGGCAGCAGUCGGGAAUUUUGGGCAAUGGGCGAAAGCCUGACCCAGCAACGCCGCGUGAAGGAUGAAAU
rnacentral:rRNA from 1 species